GAUGAACGCUGGCGGCGUGCCUAAUACAUGCAAGUCGAGCGAAUGGAUUAAGAGCUUGCUCUUAUGAAGUUAGCGGCGGACGGGUGAGUAACACGUGGGUAACCUGCCCAUAAGACUGGGAUAACUCCGGGAAACCGGGGCUAAUACCGGAUAACAUUUUGAACCGCAUGGUUCGAAAUUGAAAGGCGGCUUCGGCUGUCACUUAUGGAUGGACCCGCGUCGCAUUAGCUAGUUGGUGAGGUAACGGCCCACCAAGGCAACGAUGCGUAGCCGACCUGAGAGGGUGAUCGGCCGCACUGGGACUGAGACACGGCCCAGACUCCUACAGGAGGCAGCAGUAGGGAAUCUUCCGCAAAGGACGAAAGUCUGACGGAGCAACGCCGCGUGAGUGAUGAAGGCUUUCGGGUCGUAAAACUCUGUUGUUAGGGAAGAACAAGUGCUAGUUGAAUAAGCUGGCACCUUGACGGUACCUAACCAGAAAGCCACGGCUAACUACGUGCCAGCCGCCGCAGUAA
rnacentral:rRNA from 1 species